rnacentral:rRNA from 1 species
UACGUAGGGUGCAAGCGUUAAUCGGAAUUACUGGGCGUAAAGCGUGCGCAGGCGGUUUUGUAAGUCUGACGUGAAAUCCCCGGGCUCAACCUGGGAAUUGCGUUGGAGACUGCAAGGCUGGAGUCUGGCAGAGGGGGGGGUAGAAUUCCACGUGUAGCAGUGAAAUGCGUAGAGAUGUGGAGGAACACCGAUGGCGAAGGCAGCCCCCUGGGUCAAGACUGACGCUCAUGCACGAAAGGCGUGGGGAGCAAACAGGAUUACGAA